ACAUGCCUACAACAUAACACUGAUGCAUCGGAUCCCAUUAGAACUCUAUAGUUAAGUGUUCUCAGGCUAGAGUAGUACUGGGAUGGGUGACCACCCGGGAAGUCCUAGUGUUUUACAUGCC
rfam:Picea glauca, whole genome shotgun sequence.